rnacentral:rRNA from 1 species
GAUGAACGCUGGCGGCGUGCCUAAUACAUGCAAGUCGAGCGAACAGACGAGGAGCUUGCUCCUCUGACGUUAGCGGCGGACGGGUGAGUAACACGUGGAUAACCUACCUAUAAGACUGGGAUAACUUCGGGAAACCGGAGCUAAUACCGGAUAAUAUAUUGAACCGCAUGGUUCAAUAGUGAAAGACGGUUUUGCUGUCACUUAUAGAUGGAUCCGCGCCGCAUUAGCUAGUUGGUAAGGUAACGGCUUACCAAGGCAACGAUGCGUAGCCGACCUGAGAGGGUGGUCGGCCACACUGGAACUGAGACACGGUACAGACUCCGACGGGAGGCAGCAGUAGGGAAUCUUCCGCGAUGGGCGAAAGCCGGACGGAGCAACGCCGCGUGAGUGAUGAAGGUCUUCGGAUCGUAAAACUCUGUUAUUAGGGAAGAACAAAUGUGUAAGUAACUAUGCACGUCUUGACGGUACCUAAUCAGAAAGCCACGGCUAACUACGUG